UUUUGCUUCUUCUCAUCUCUAUCACAAACUCUCUCUCUUGGCAAACUAUCUCUCAAAACUCUCUACCAAAAUUUUGCUUUCCCAACAAAGUUUUUCCUGUUGAAUGUCUCUGCAAUCAAACUACCCUUGCUUUCCCAUUGAAGUGCUGAAAAAAGAACUUCAUGCUGAAAAAACGUGGCAAAGGGAUAUUUACGGAGUCUGAAUCCAUUGGAUGAGGUCGGGGGACAAGCUCUUGGACCAAACUAGUGUGAGAUACAGAUACAAGUUACAAUGAGUCCAAGUGAACAAUUGAUUAGACCGUAUGAUUUGCAACAAACAAUUCAAGAUGCACUUGGCGAACCGAUUGCUUAGCCUUGUCAUUUGGUGAAACCAACUGAAGAUUGAUGGGUCUUCGUGGUUAUAACUAAAGGCUCUCAUUUCAUUGGAAAGUUUGGAAGCUACUGCAAGUUCUUUCAACUUUUUACAUUAGGAGAAUCUUUUAUUUUAAUUUUAGCUAGUGGCGUUGUUUAACAUUGCUACACUACUUUAAACAUUGGAAGGGAUUUGCUAUGUUAGUACUUGUUACUGACUUUUAGUUCAACAAAUUAUAUUUGAGCAU